rnacentral:rRNA from 1 species
UACAGAGGUCUCAAGCGUUGUUCGGAUUCAUUGGGCGUAAAGGGCGCGUAGGCUGCGGGGCAAGUCGGGUGUGAAAUCUCAGAGCUCAACUCUGAAACUGCACUCGAUACUGCUUUGCUCGAGGACUGGAGAGGAGAUUGGAAUUCACGGUGUAGCAGUGAAAUGCGUAGAUAUCGGGAGGAACACCAGAGGCGAAGGCGGCUCGCUGGACAGGCACUGACACUCAACUACGAAAGCGUGGGGAGCAAACAGG